GGGGCAUCAAACCAAAGUUCCGAGACGACUGACUUCCAUUUAUUUCUUUUCUAUCGAGACGCCGUUGAGGAUGGUUACGCUAAUCACUGCUGGGUACUCUCUUUCCUGAUGUGUUCAUAACAAAGGUUGGUGGAAAUUGUUCUCAACGUGCAGGGCCAAGUCAACAAGCAGCAUUGUGAUUAUGCCUUUGAUGAGGCGUCUAUAAUGUUGCGAGAUGAAAAUGUGAAGGAAACGGAAGGAAAUCUGAAAUGGCAAGAUCUACUUGUAAUAACACAACUUUGGAAUUCUUGGUGAGUGUCUGGUGUUGGAGCUGUCAAUGGUGGUGAUACCUGGUGUGCAGUGGUGUGGCAGUCAUUUUCUGAUUUGGAGAUGUGCCAAAAUGGAUCUUCUGCAGACUUGGAGGUUCUACAUCAGAUUUCAAUUUACCAAGUUGGUGUCCAUGCAGUGUUGAGCUGUUGUGCAAAAUAGUUGGUGUUUCCUGAAGGCUGUCUGGCAUUUUGUUGGUGUAUUCUCUUGCUACCUGCAACCCAUAUUGAGUUCAAUGGUACUCCGCCGUUCCAGAGUUGAUCCAUUGGUCAAGCCGAAAACAGGUUGCUGAAAUCCAAGACUGAAAAAAUCAAUUAGACUUCGACAAUUUACAAAUGCAUAUCUGUUGUCCCUUUUCCCUGAGUAAACAGCAUGUCGGCCGUUGGUUAUUCGUCUGGUCGAACGGGAAAUAGCAAUGAGAAAUUCUGAUUUAUCUUUGGAGAAAAAUUAAGUUUGACCACGAAGUAAUUCUCCCUUAUUCGAUAUCACUCUUCAUCCUUUAUAAAACGAUUCAAAUUGUUCGCUCUUCACAUGUUUAUGUCCAAUAUUAUUACUUCGCAAAUAAUAAAAAUAUGAAAUCAAA